GGCCGCGGAAACCCGUGCAAAGGUAGCAUAAUCAUUUCCCCCUUAAUUAGGGGCUUGUAUGAACGGAUAAACGAGAAAUUAGCUGUCUCUAAAAUACAAAAUAUAAUUUAUCCUUUAUGUGAAUAGACAUAAAUAACUUUUGAAGACAAGAAGACCCUAUUGCGCUUUAUUGUUUCUUAGCUUUUUCAUAGCUUUAAUCAAUUUCGUUGGGGCGACACCGGAUACUCUAAACCAUCCGAAAUCCUUAAGGAAAGCCCUCCUCAUUUAUUGACCCUAAUAAGACUUAAGAAUAAGCUACCAUAGGGAUAACAGGCUAAUCCCCUUUAAGAGCCCAAAUCGACAAGGGGGUUUGGCACCUCGAUGUUGGCUUAGGGUAUCAUAUAGGCGCAGCCGCCUAUAAAUGAAGGUUUGUUCAACCUACUAAACCCUACGUGAUC
rnacentral:rRNA from 1 species